GAUGAAGAACGUAGCGAAAUGCUAUAAGUAAUGUGAAUUGCAGAAUUCAGUGAAUCAUCGAAUCUUUGAACGCACAUUGCGCCCUCUGGUAUUCCGGGGGGCAUGCCUGUUCGAGCGUCAUUAUAACCACUCAAGCUCUCGCUUGGUAUUGGGGUUCGCGGUUCCGCGGCCCCUAAAAUCAGUGGCGGUGCCUGUCGGCUCUACGCGUAGUAAUACUCCUCGCGAUUGAGUCCGGUAGGUCUACUUGCCAGCAACCCCCAAUUUUUACAGGUUGACCUCGGAUCAGGUAGGGAUACCCGCUGAACUUAAGCAUAUCAAUAAGCGGAGGA
rnacentral:misc_RNA from 1 species